rnacentral:lncRNA from 1 species
UUUUUAACUUUAGUUCCUGCAGCACAAUUUUUUCAUGAGUAAACAUAUGAGGCCUAUCUAAAGUACCAUAGCCAGCAUCCUUGGCCCAAAAGCAAUAAAUCCUAUUUGCGUUCGGUCUGGUUUGGUAGUGAAGACGACCAUUCAUUUAGAUGGCUUGAUCAUCCUCCAAUCAGGGGUGCUAGCAAUUAUACACCAUUAGUUUCUAUUUUUCCAGGAUGUGUUAAAUCUAACCC